CGUUCGGCUCACACCGCCCAAUCUCCGACCGGCCCUCCAUUUUCCACCCCCACCGCCGCCGCGGGGAUCAUCGCUUCCGGCCACCGGCCCUAAUUGCGUCGCGCUCAAUCCGAUUCGACCGCAAAUCUUCAUUGAGGGUGGGGUGUCGCAGGGCUUCUUGCAGUGUUGUCCGUGAUCUUCUUCACCUUCGUCGACCGGUCACGCUUCGAGGGUGAUUCCAACAUGCCAGGAGGGGGGCGCAAAGGAGGAGGAAGAAAGAGGCCCUCGAAGAAAGUUAGGGGCAUGUCGACCAUUCUCUCGAAGGCUCCACUUCAGGCUCCACUUCCCUCAGACUCCACUUCAGGCUCCACACGGUCUCCUAGUCCUCCACCACCUCUGAAGCGUCAGAGGGCUAGACGGCCAUCCACUCCUCCCCCAGUCGAGGAGCAGGUGGAGGAGGA